rnacentral:rRNA from 2 species
CGAGCGAAUGGAUUGAGAGCUUGCUCUCAAGAAGUUAGCGGCGGACGGGUGAGUAACACGUGGGUAACCUGCCCAUAAGACUGGGAUAACUCCGGGAAACCGGGGCUAAUACCGGAUAACAUUUUGAACCGCAUGGUUCGAAAUUGAAAGGCGGCUUCGGCUGUCACUUAUGGAUGGACCCGCGUCGCAUUAGCUAGUUGGUGAGGUAACGGCUCACCAAGGCAACGAUGCGUAGCCGACCUGAGAGGGUGAUCGGCCACACUGGGACUGAGACACGGCCCAGACUCCUACGGGAGGCAGCAGUAGGGAAUCUUCCGCAAUGGACGAAAGUCUGACGGAGCAACGCCGCGUGAGUGAUGAAGGCUUUCGGGUCGUAAAACUCUGUUGUUAGGGAAGAACAAGUGCUAGUUGAAUAAGCUGGCACCUUGACGGUACCUAACCAGAAAGCCACGGCUAACUACGUGCCAGCAGCCGCGGUAAUACGUAGGUGGCAAGCGUUAUCCGGAAUUAUUGGGCGUAAAGCGCGCGCAGGUGGUUUCUUAAGUCUGAUGUGAAAGCCCACGGCUCAACC